UAAAAUUUAUCUGUGCUUUGUACCAGAGGAAAUAACUUCUAGCUAAGAUCGCAGUUUAACUUACUAUACAAUUUAACAUUUAUUGUUCGUUCCAGUAGGCUUUGCUCAAAUAUAUAGUCGACCAUGUUGCUAACGGGCGCUGCCGUGAGGUCUCAGAUUGCCUCCAUUGUUGACGUACUCUCCAAAGCAGCAGUAGCAGAAAUAAGCAAAGUGGUCGACGAUAGCAUGGUUGUGUUACGAUUGGAAAUGAGUCAACGUGAAAAUGAGAUAAAGACCUUGAAAAAUAAUAUAGAAAUACUUCAUAAUGAAUUAAGAACUGCGCAUGGAACGGAAGAAAGACCACCGCUUCAUUUUAGAUCUGUUGAGAAUCAUCAUGCAAGAGAAGGUCCAGAAGGAGAGAAUGUAAAGGAAGUUUUGUCAUCUGGAAGGGACACGUUGGUGAAAGCGGAGCCUGGUCAAACUGUUGAAGCAAGCAAAGAGACAAGAGCACAGCAUCUGGAUGAUGCACUGGCAAUGUUUGAGAGAGAAAGAUAUCGGUGGACGACCAAAACGCACACAGAAAAUGAUGAAAAUUCUGAAUAUUAUCACAAUUCAGGGGAGAGCUCCCUGUGUUUCUCUGACCGUUCCCAACUAACUACUACUCCUUCGUUUCAGUCCAGUUCACUGUCUCGAGGUCAAUUCAGUUUUGCGCCAUAUCGUAACACCUUUGGCUCAACCAGGAAAAAAAGGACACUCAAGAGAUACAUGUCUAAGACACACUUUAUUUGCCCUGUAUGUGGGAAGAGCUUUGAGCGUACUGGUCACUUGGAAAGGCACAAGCUAAUCCAUACAGGAGAGAAACCAUACAGCUGUGAGAUAUGUGGGAGGCGUUUCAACCAGAAAAGUACCUUGAAGGGGCAUUUGAAGACCCACAGAAAUGGGUCUUUGGUGGUACAGGCGAACACAGGACAGACACGUGGGCCUGAGGCACACCAUUCGGGGGAUGAGGGGCGCAAAGGAGGGGAAGACUCCAAAUCUGCAACCGACGUGCAGAUGAAGGCCGAACCUGGGGAGAAGAAUUCUUUCCAGCAGCUCCAUCAUGAAGAUGACGAAAACACUAGAGAGAGACCCGACCUUGAAGAACUGAGAAUGGUUGAGGGAGAGCAUCAGCAAUGGGCAUCAAGCUCACAUGCGGACAGUGAUAAUGGAACCAGCAACCCUGAGUAUUUCAACAGUUCAGGACAGAGCUCCAUGAGUCUCUCCGGACUCUCUCCAAUACUUCCUGUUCCUGGUGCAAUGGAAGCCUCCUGUAGUACUAUGUCUUUCCCAGCUAUGGUCUCCCAGCAACAGUAUGGACACACGGAAACACCCCUGAUAUCAAGCGAUGGUACAGUCCAUCCAAACUUUCAUCCUGGCUUGCCUAAGAAAACAAGAGACGUCCAAAUUGUAAAACCAAAGAGAUACUUCAUCUGUUCAACAUGUGGCAAAAGUUUUGAGCGAAUUGGUCACCUGGAAAGACACCAGCGAAUCCAUACAGGGGAGAAACCGUACAGCUGUGAAAUAUGUGGGAGAUGCUUCAAUCAAAAAAGUACUCUGAAAGGCCAUCUCAAAGUUCACAUAAAUGGCACUGGCACUGAAGCAGUUGAGGGAUAUCAGCCUGUUGAUAAGAAGACCGUCCACCCAACAGACACAGAGAACCCUGGGAAACAAAAGCAGGUGCCUUCCCACGCUAUGUCCAGCCCUGGAUAUAGUGAGGGGAGCAGCAGACCCGAUUCAAUGGUCAAAGCAGAGCGAAAGACUCUUGAAACCCCAGCGCUCAACCAACCAGGAAGUGAGCAUGUGCCGGUAGGUCCGGACCCACUGGCCCAAAGCUACGUCAUGGACGGAAGAGACGAUCAGCUGUGGACCCCUGCGACCGACAGGACUGGGGACGAACAGUCGGCCAUUCCGGGUUGUUCUGAUAGCACCUCUCAGUUUGAUCCUAAUUUUAAGUAUAGGAACAGUCCAUUUGAGGGGGCGCAGAGUUCACACCGGUGCUUUACAUCACCUAGUGCAGUUGAGCAAGGAAUGUCUUUUCUCAAUGAGAAAGAGAAGAUGGAGAUGAUUCAGCAAGAGCAAUAUGCUAUGAUGGCGUUGCAGUCACGGAACAUAGACAUGACGGGACUCCCAGGGUUGCAUGGACAGGUAGAUACCGUGGAGGAGAGGGUGAUGAGGGAGCACAUGGCAGAGUCCAACGAUGGUCAGGAGGGAAGUUUGUUUGCGUUAGGGGUCAACACGUUUGAUGAUUCAAAGGUGGGCGAUGAUGUAGACACCACGAGACAAAAAUGUUUUAUAUGCUCAACUUGUGGAAGAAGCUUUGAUCGCUUCAGCCAUUUUGAAAGACACCAGCGCACACAUACAGGUGAAAAACCCUACAAUUGUGAAAUAUGUGGAAAAACGUUCACUCAGAAGUGCAGCCUGAAAGUGCACCAAAAACUUCACAUUAAAGAUUGAGUUUCAUCAUUAUGACAUUACGUACAGUAUGCUUUACUGUAUGCUUAGAGAUCAUAUAAUUAACUAAUGUGUUUUUCAAUAUAAAGGUUUUCUCGAAACUGUUGAGGGCAAUAUUUGUGUAUGCUCGUGUUAUAUAUCUGUUCUGAUUAUGUUAGAACUGCACAAGAGUAACUGUAGCUGAUAAAUCCUUGUAUAUUGUGCUUCUCGUGUUGUGCACCCAUUUGUGGGACAACAGUUUUAUCUUAAAUAAUAACUCGAUCCAUCCAUGUAUUUCCUAUGGAUCUCGAAUAAAUUUAGGUUAUCUACCUUCGUUGUAUAUGUUAUAGUUUUUGCGUUUUCAUAUAAUGUCAUUUAUCAUGUUUACGGUAGUCGCUCUACUCCCACCGGAAGAAGCCUUGUAGAAGAACUCGACACCCCUGGAUCUUGCAAUUUUUUAUUGUUAAGUCUCUCAAUGUAGCAUAAGGAUUUGGAUGCAGUUUUAAAGAGUAUACAAUGUCGGAGUGUUUGUGAAUUUUAUAUUUACAAAUAAACCAUAACAAUGUCGACGUGCAGGCCAACCACCUUUCAGACACAACUAACCGCGAUUAUGGAGGUCUUGACUAAGGCUGCAGUGGCAGAAAUUUCACGGCUGGUCGACGAUAGAUGUACUGUAUUACAUUUAGAAGUCUCCCGACAUCAAAAUGAAAAUGACAUUCUCAAGGGGAAAUUGCUCAAGGUUGAAAGCGAACUAAAAAGCGAACGAGCACGGCGCAGUACCGUAGCUGAUACCUACGUGGAGAAAGUAGGAGGGCCUCAAGAUUGGAGAGCAAAUCAGAGGCCAGAUGAAGACCCAGCGUUUGGAGCUGGAGUCAGCAUGAAACCGUUCACUGUACAUUCCGAGCCUGCUGAUAUAGACACCACUAAGUCCCUUAUGAUUAAAGAGGAGAGGCCAGAUGAGGAACUAUGGACAAACAAUCCACAUAGUGAUGGUUUGCAACUUCAAGGAAGUAUCCUCUACCACGAUGUCCUUGAGGAAUUCCAGAUUGAGAAUCAACACUUUGAGGAUGAGCUUCACACCCAACAGUCACAUUCCAAAGAACCAAAUAAUAAACAUUGUGAAAAACCCAGAUUUUCAACAGAAGAUUCAAACUCGAGCAGUACAGGACACAAUGGGGUGGAGACCAAUGUUUUUGUUGUGAAACUGGAGAAGGAGGAAGAGCAUUCUGAGUUUCUAUUGGAUGCAUGUCAACACAGCACAGGGAAACAAAAUCCUACAGGUAUUGGGUUUGCCAUGGAUGAAAGAGACAGUCAGCUGUGGGCUUCGAUAGUUCAAGAGAAUCCCAACAUUGACGCCGACUUUCCUACUUUCUCCAACGUAGCAGACCAGUAUUCUCAGACUUUUUCAGACUGUUCAGAGGGAGCCCCAUUCUCAGCCUCCAAAGAUUCUUGUGGGUUGUCUCAGUCUACUCCACAGAGCCCCUGCAAAGUCAUGGCAAGCAAUGUUCAUCUCAAAGAUAAACUUGCAUCUCAGUUCAUGCCCACAUUUCAUUGCAUGCCUCAGCGCUCACAGAGAAAUGACCACAUCUCACUUACUGAUCAGCAAAUGCUUGAAAAGUCAUCCGCAUCUCAUUCAGGGAUGACUUUCCCAACCAGCAACCAACUGGGCAUAUCUCACCACACAAAAAACAACUUUGCGGCAGCUAGAAGGGACAAAUUCAUCUUCCAACGUGGCAAAACGUUCAGUCGCUCGCCUUAUAUCAAGAUACACCAGCAAGUUCUCCCGGGACACGAGUCCCUUAGCUGUGACAUCUGUGGGAAGAGGUUUGCGUCGCUCGCUCACCUGGUCCAACACAACCGCGUUCACACCGGGGAGCGUCCGUUUGGUUGCGCCACGUGUGGGAAGCGCUUCUCGCAGAAAGGGAGCCUGAAAGCCCACCAGCGCAUCCACAGCGGCGAGAGACCGUUCUGCUGUGCUCAGUGUGGCAAGACCUUCACUCUCAAGCACCACUUGAAGAGGCACAGGCUGAUUCACUCGACAGAGAUGACUGAGAGAGGACUCCAACUGCCCGUGGAGAAAGACUCACUUAUACCCUGGAGAGGAUAAACGCUACUCUUGUCAGAGUCAAAUAUUGUACUUUUGAUAUAUGAAAUACUACUCCGCUGUCGAUAUUGUAAAUUAAAGGUUUCUCAUGAAAGGGGAUAUGCUUUUGUGAACGAGAUUAAUUUGGUCACAAGUAACAUUUAAGUGUAUUUGUCCAGUAGAGCAUCACAUGUAAACAGUAGCUUUCCAUUUCAAGGCCCAGGAUUUAAAAAUAUUCAGAAAGUAUCAAAUGUGUUUGGCUAUGUUUGGAUCCCAUAAUGACAAUACUGGCCCCUUUUGUUAAAAGCAUCCCUUUCAUCCUUUUGAACUUUCACCAGAGGGCAGUGUGAAUCCAGUGAAACUUGAUUCAAGUGAAACACUGUGAAACUGUUUUAAACAGGAUCCAGGAACAGGAUUUGGUAGUAGAACAGGAACAACCUACUUUGACUGACUUUAAUGUUACCUCUCCAUCGUUGUCAUGAGAACAUCAAUUUCAGUGCAUAUCUCAGACAAAGACAAGACAAAGAUGAAAAGGCCUCAGGUCAUGAAACAAGAUAGUAUGUAUGUUGUAUGUUUAAGGUAGAGGUGACAAGUUCCAGGAAUUGAAUAAAUAAGGGUGAUCAUGUUUCAGGUUGAGGAUCCAGGUAGAGUAUCAGAUGAUGUGCGACUGUAGGGGAGGUUGGGCUGCAGAUAUCAAAUGGGUAAAUAUCUCUCCCAUAUAUGCCAAGCUAGUGAACAUUAUGCAGACGUUUUUGUUUUAUAACAACAUUGUGGGAUUUGAUUGUGGAAGCAUAGAGAGUCACUGAAGUGGAAGCUUUGGAACAUUCUAUACUAUAGAUUGCUGCGGAACGCUGUAGAGUAAACAAAACCCAAGGUUACUAUGGCACUGCACGUGACACAUCCUGGAGCAGAAUGUCCUAAGCUGUUUCUGUUCAGCUAAAACUCCCUGCCUAAACAUCCAGACUCUGGGUAUGGACCAGCUCCACUGACAAAGGUUUGAAGUCUCCAAAUUGACCAAACAUGCAUGUCUUUUCCAACAAUCAGAGCCACUGCUUAUCAAAAGACAAAGUUAAUCUUUUCAGACAUGUAGUAAAAAGUUCACUGCACAGAGGCUUAGUAGAAACACAAUGCAAAAGUGAACAACUGAAAAGAAGAGGGACUUAAAGAUAAUCUCUGGCCUGCCCUCAGAGACUCAGCACAUGACCUUGUAUGGAUAUAAACACUGACGACUUGACGUCACGGAAAACACUGGUUGGAGGAGGGAGGGCAUGGCUGUUGAAUAGUUUUGGUGAGAAAAAGGGAAAAAGUGACCAUGAGAGCAAGGGAAACAAUGCAGGGAUAGGGAUGGCAAAACAAUACUGCUGUCAGGUGGUGUUGUUUUAACGCAUGGUUGACACCCCUCCAAAGUCAACAGAUGGUUUCACACCAGAGUGCCAGAGAUAAAAGGUAGAGAUGAUACCACUUCUUCAGCCACUCAUAUCAAAUUGAGUUGACAUUAAAGUUACAUUAACUACUGCAUAGCAAUACCUAGAGUCAAAACUGUCAACUCUGGUAAACUGUUUUGACAAGAAUUGCAAUGCGAUUAAAUGGUGUUAGCAGUACAGGUUAUUACAGAAGUGAAAGAGGGCACUGAAUGGAUGAGGGUAGUUUUGAUAUGUGGAUGUUGUAAAGGAGCAGCUGAAGGCUGUGUUGCUAAAACAAGGUCAAUAUUGACGUUAUCUUACCCUUGGAAAGCCCAACCUGCCCUUACCAAGUUUCACUUGUAUAAUGACUUGCAUUGCUAAACCGUAAUAAAAUGUAACUACAUAGCAAUUUGUAUCUAACUACAAUGUUGUUUAUUUAGGUAUUGAUGCGUAGUUCCAUUGUAGUUAAUGUAACCUUAAUGUGAAGUGUUGCUACUUAUUUAUUUGCAGAAGUAAGAACU